UGCAGUUCUCAGGUGAUGCAUCCCAGAAUCUGACUCCCUCCUCUCUGGUUUCAGGGUGCACCACCCAAGAACUGCC
rfam:Myotis davidii contig81145, whole genome shotgun sequence.